rnacentral:lncRNA from 1 species
GGCCUCCCUGGGCCGCAUCACGUCUGGCCUGGCUCAGGUGCAGCCUGGGACCUGGGCUUGCUCGGAGCCUCCCUGCGCGGCACCCCCAGGUUGCUAACCACAGGUCUUCCCCUCCUGUCAGUCGGUUGUCAGGAGGGCUGGCCCGCCCCUCCGCUGGGGUGCGUUUUCAGUCGGGGGCAGAAUUGCUGCCGGUGUGAGGCGUCGGGCCCUAUCUGCCGUCUGGAGGGCGGGAAGAGAGCACUGCAUAUAGAGUUUUGCUUUUCUUGCUUGUCAGCUGAGACCCUGCUCCCACUGCUGUAGCUGUCUCCCCUGAUGUGGUUGUCACCUUGGCGUCCUCCAGCCUGGCAGAGCCCAGCUCAUCAGGGUGGCUUCUGCUGGAACCACGGCCGGUCCAAAAGGCUCUUUAAUCACCACUUUAUUCAUUCACGGAACAUCUGCUGAGCCGGGCCUGUCCAGCAUCUGCAGGUGACACUGGGAACGGAGGAAAGGGGUCUGCCCUGGUGCUGCCCAGCAGACAGGUGCAGGCGGCCUGCGCUCCCCCCUCCACUCAUAUACACACCACACACACAAGCUCGGAUGCAUGCACACAUUCUCUCUCUCUCUCUCUGUCUCUCUCUCUCUCUCUGUCUCUCUCUCUCUCUCUCUAU